rnacentral:rRNA from 1 species
CUCCGGUUGAUCCUGCCGGACCCGACUGCUAUCAGAGUGAGAUUAAGCCAUGCGAGUUAACGUAGCAAUACGUGGCGCACGGCUCAGUAACACGUAGUCAACAUGCCCAGAGGACGUGGAUAACCUCGGGAAACUGAGUCUAAACCGCGAUAAGUGAGGAUUUCUGGAAUGGUUCCUGACUAAAAUCUAUAUGGCCUCUGGAUUGGACUGCGGCCGAUCAGGCUGUUGGUGAGGUAAUGGCCCACCAAACCUGUAACCGGUACGGGCUCUGAGAGGAGGAGCCCGGAGAUGGGCACUGAGACAAGGGCCCAGGCCCUAUGGGGCGCAGCAGGCGCGAAACCUCUGCAAUAGGCGAAAGCCUGACAGGGUUACUCUGAGUGACUUUCGCUAAGAAAGUCUUUUGGCACCUCUAAAAAGGGUGCAGAAUAAGGGGUGGGCAAGUCUGGUGUCAGCCGCCGCGGUAAUACCAGCACCCCGAGUGGUCGGGACGAUUAUUGGGCCUAAAGCAUCCGUAGCCGGUUCUGCAAGUCCCCCGUUAAAUCCAGCUGCUCAACAGAUGGGCCGCGGAGGAUACUACAGAGCUAGGAGGCAGGAGAGGCAAGCGGUACUCAGUGGGUAGGGGUAAAAUCCGUUGAUCCAUUGAAGACCACCAGUGGCGAAGGCGGCUUGCCAGAAUGCGCUCGACGGUGAGGGAUGAAAGCUGGGGGAGCAAACCGGAUUAGAUACCCGGGUAGUCCCAGCCGUAAACGAUGCAGACUCGGUGAUGGGUUGGCUUCGCGCUAACCCAGUGCCGCAGGGAAGCCGUUAAGUCUGCCGCCUGGGUAGUACGGUCGCAAGACUGAAACUUAAAGGAAUUGGGCGGGGGAGCC